GCUGGGCAUGGUGGUGCACGUUUGUAGUCUCAGCUACUCAGGAGGCUGAGGCAGGAGAAUUGCUUGAACCCAGGAGGUGGAGGUUGCAGUGAGCCGAGAUCAUGCCAUUGCACUCCAGUCUGGGUAACAACAGCGAAACUCUCUUAAAAAAAAAAAAAAAAAAAUGGAGUGUCACUCUGUCUGUCGCCCAGGCUGGAGUGCAGUGGCCUGAUCUCGGCUCACUGCAACCUCCAACUCCUGGAUUCAAGGGAUUCUCCUGCCUCAG
rnacentral:sRNA from 1 species